CAGUCCUACGGUAAGUGUCCACGUUUCGGCACCGUAAGUCAUUACAGGUAGGACGCACUGAUUGAAGACCCUGGUCUUAAGCGACUGUGGGAUCGACGAUUCAAAAAUAUGACGUAACCUCCCGAAUGCCGCCCAGCCCAAACGUAUUCUUCUUUUAGCCUCCUUCUCAAAGUUGUGCCGGCCAAGUUGUAUAGUUUGGCCCAGGUAGAUAUAUUCCUGCACAACUUCAAGUGGAGAGCCAUUUACGACCACUGGUCUCGGGGAUACAUGACGGUUUGCCAUAAUUUUGGUCUUUUCAAUGUUCAUCCCGAGACCUACUUGUCUUGAAGAAUCGCUCAGGCUGUUUAGCAUCUCUUCCAAAUCCUGCAGAGUCUCCGCCAUGAUGACAAUGUCGUCGGCAAAUCGCAGAUGUGUAAUGUGUUGGCCAUUUAUAUUAAUGCCGCGUCCGUUCCAAUCGAGCGUCUUGAAGACGUCCUCCAAUGCAUUGGUAAAGAGUUUCGGUGAUAUUACAUCUCCCUGUCUUACCCCGCGAUGCAAUUGGAUUGGUCUUGUGCUCUGAUCUUGUACUUGGACGGUCAUGGUUGCGGCUUCGUACAAACACUUUACCACCUGGACAUACCGACAGUCAAUUAGGCAUCUCUGCAUGGAUUCCAGAACAGCCCAGGUCUCGAUGGUAUCGAAGGCUUUUUCGUAGUCCACAAACGCUAGGCAUAGAGGCUGAUUAUAUUCCUCGGUCUUCUGUAUUAUUUGCCUUAGUGUGUGUAUGUGGUCUACGGUACUGAAGCCUUUUCGAAACCCAGCCUGCUCCACGGGUUGGAAGUCAUCGAAUUUUCGGGCAAGACGAUUCGUGAUUACCCUCGAAAACAAUUUUUUUUCAGAAGAGCUUUAUCACCCUUCUUGAAAAACAGCACCACCACACUUCUGCUCCAUGUCUUCGGUGUUAUACCAUUGUGGAGGACGGAAUUAAAGAUGUUAGCCAGCUCUCUCAGAACUGGUGUGCCUCCUGCUUUGAGAAGCUCUGAGGUAAUUCCGUCAUCUCCUGGAGCCUUUUUGUUU